GGUCUUCCUGAGAUGUAAGCAAUAAAGCUUUGCCGUAGAAGGAUCUGGUUGUCCGAGUAUGUUUUGCUGGCGAAACAUUACAAGGACAAGAUCUAUCUGCAUUUUGGCUGCCAUGAGGAGUUACUGUGGCUUCAAGCUGUUGUUUCAACUGAGCAACUUUUCCAAGUGGUGGUGGUAUUAGAGCUUCUGGACACUCAAAGAAGUAAGGGGAGGACGUUGCCCUCUACUCCGCAUGCUGAAGGAUAUGUUAAAAGAAUUCCAGAGAAAGGCACAUCUACAUAUUUUGUUGUAUCUGGCACUUCAAAAGGUCUCUGGAGACUGAGACCUGACUGGAAAGGUCCCCAAGUCAACAUGGCAGAGACUCUGAUUAAUAUGGAUGCUUUCAAGCUUCAGUGAGACCUCUUCUUUCAACAGAAUUCAGAGGGAAGCUGAAGUACACUGCCACAAGCCUUGUGAAAGACAGCCUCUGCCCCCUCCCCAGCUGACAGGACCAGACGGAAUCUCUUUGGGUGCUGGAGAGGUUGAUGAGACGCUGCAAGAAUGAAGCUCCUGAUCCAGUUGCCCCUGUGGAUGUGGUGGAUGAUCCCGCAAGCACAAACGAUGGAGCCGAGAUGGGAGAUCCUUUCCGUGUUCCAGAAGCCGAUACCAGCUCGACAUGACGUUCAAAUUUAUCAGAUGGCAUCAAUUGCAAAUAGCUGGCUGGAAAAAGGUGGAACAUAGUGUCUACUUCCCUGUCUCAGUGAUGGGAUCCUCUUAUGUUUGUUACUGAUCUGGUUCUAUUUAUGCUGCCAUAGCUUCUGUGAGUUUAUUUGGGUGCAUCAGUCCUGUGGUGCCUGGAAGGCACUGUGUUCCUGGAGUCAUCCAUCAUCAUGUAUGGCUCUUAGCACCUUUUCUGAAGCUCCUCUUUCUCAUAGAUCUCUAAACCUUGCAGGGAGGUAUUUGAUGAAGACAUUCCACUUAAGACUGAGUGCUCCAGAGUCCCUUACUCUCUGCACAUUCUCAGUAGAGAAUGUCUGUGUUAAUCCCAUCUACUGUAAGAAGACACUUCUUUGAUGAGGGUGCAGCAAGGGCCUGAUCUAUGUAUAUAGCAUUAUGCAAUAUAUUAUUGGGAGUCAUUUUAUUGCUAUAUUCCUUUAGCAGAAUGAUUAUAGUACGUUUUCUACUACUGACCUAUCUAGUCUCAGGCUUUUGGCCAUUUAGCAGUGUUAAGUAUGGUUCCAUCUCAUGGAGUGGCUCUUAAAUCCAAAAGUGACUCAGCUAUUCUCUUGAGAUUGCUAUAACAAAAGACCACAAACUGGUGGCUGAUAAAUAACAAAUAUUUAUUUCUUCCAUUACUGGAGUCUAAAGAGAAAGAUUCCGACAAGCCUGAUAGUAGUCUGCUAGCACCUUGCUUCCUGGUUCACAGCUGUUAUUGAGUAGAUACUCAAUAUUGGCAAAUGAGCUUUCUUUGGUCUCAUCAAGUGAUUAAUGUCACUAAUCCAAGGACUUGUCAUUGUGAACUCAUUACUUUCUAUUCCUUUGAGGAUCUGGAGCUUAAUAUAUAAAUUUUUGGAGGGGAUGGGCUAUACAUUAGAUCCAAGAUAACACUAAACUAAAAGUCAAAUGUGUUUACUUCUCCAAAAAUGACUAUUUUAUUUAUCCUUUUAUUUCCAUUAUUCCCCAUAAAAUCUGAAGAAUCAAAAGUAUUCAGUAGUGAGGUUGUAAAUGUACAUGCAUGUGUGCAUGCAUGUGUGCUAUAAAAGGGCUUCAGACCUUAGGAGGCCACAGAGACCUUAGCACAACUGACUUCAUAUCGGCAGUGCCAGUCAGGCUGUAAGCCUCGGUGUAUAGUCAGUACCAUCUGCCAAAACUAAAACAAAUGCUAGUACGUCAAAGUUCAUAGUUCCAAGGAAGUCUCUAAAUGUACUAACCUCAUAUUUUAGCUUUUGUAGUUAUGCUUCUUGCAAACUGUUUUUGUUAACUGAAGUAUGUUAUCCUAGGACAUAGGUCUUGAGCUGAAAUUUUGUCCCGAGAAAGGCUUGUGGCUACUCUGGGAUGCUGAACACCCAGUAUAGUUGCUAGCCAGGAAUAAAGACUUUCUAUUGGCUUAAAUGC